GACGAACGCUGGCGGCGUGCCUAAUACAUGCAAGUAGAACGCUGAAGGAGGAGCUUGCUUCUCUGGAUGAGUUGCGAACGGGUGAGUAACGCGUAGGUAACCUGCCUGGUAGCGGGGGAUAACUAUUGGAAACGAUAGCUAAUACCGCAUAAGAGUAGAUGUCGCAUGACAUUUGCUUAAAAGGUGCAAUUGCAUCACUACCAGAUGGACCUGCGUUGUAUUAGCUAGUUGGUGAGGUAACGGCUCACCAAGGCAACGAUACAUAGCCGACCUGAGAGGGUGAGCGGCCACACUGGGACUGAGACACGGCCCAGACUCCUACGGGAGGCAGCAGUAGGGAAUCUUCGGCAAUGGACGGAAGUCUGACCGAGCAACGCCGCGUGAGUGAAGAAGGUUUUCGGAUCGUAAAGCUCUGUUGUAAGAGAAGAACGAGUGUGAGAGUGGAAAGUUCACACUGUGACGGUAUCUUACCAGAAAGGGACGGCUAACUACGUG
rnacentral:rRNA from 1 species